rnacentral:tRNA from 1 species
GCGGAGAUUCCAGAGCGGUCAAAUGGAAACGCCUCAAGAGCGUUUGGCUUAGUGCCUUCGCAGGUUCGAUUCCUGCUCUCCGCA